rnacentral:rRNA from 1 species
UUUACGGGAGGCAGCAGUGGGGAAUCUUGGACAAUGGGCGCAAGCCUGAUCCAGCCAUGCCGCGUGAGUGAUGAAGGCCUUAGGGUCGUAAAGCUCUUUCGCCUGUGAAGAUAAUGACUGUAGCAGGUAAAGAAACCCCGGCUAACUCCGUGCCAGCAGCCGCGGUAAUACGGAGGGGGUUAGCGUUGUUCGGAAUUACUGGGCGUAAAGCGCACGUAGGCGGACUAGUCAGUCAGAGGUGAAAUCCCAGGGCUCAACCCNGGAACUGCCUUUGAUACUGCUAGUCUAGAGUUCGAGAGAGGUGAGUGGAAUUCCAAGUGUAGAGGUGAAAUUGGUAGGUAUUUGGAGGAACACCAAUGGCGAUGGCGGCUAACUNGAACCAGUAGCCGAAACUCAAAGGAAUUGACGGAAGUCAAAGCAGGUGCCGAAACUCAAAUGAAUUGACGGAACUCAAAGAAUUGCCGAAACUCAAAGAAUGACGGAACUCAAANAAUGACGAAAUCAAA